CAGUCGCCACGGGAAUACGUAGGUGGCAAGCGUUGCCCGGAAUUAUUGGGCGUAAAGGGCUCGCAGGCGGUUUCUUAAGUCUGAUGUGAAAGCCCCCGGCUCAACCGGGGAGGGUCAUUGGGAACUGGGAAACUUGAGUGCAGAAGAGGAGAGUGGAAUUCCACGUGUAGCGGUGAAAUGCGUAGAGAUGUGGAGGAACACCAGUGGCGAAGGCGACUCUCUGGUCUGUAACUGACGCUGAGGAGCGAAAGCGUGGGGAGCGAACAGGAUUAGAUACCCCCGUAGUCCCUGUCUCUUAUAC
rnacentral:rRNA from 1 species